ensembl:lncRNA
GGCAACUAGCUCAGCUGAGACAGUGAAAAUUGUUAACAUGCUCCAGCACUUACUGGGGGUGCCGGACACAUUUCAACAGCCAACUCAUUAAUCUUCCCGGCGUCCCCACAAGGAGGUCCCCAUUUGCAAAGGAGGAAGCUGAAGCCCAACCAUCUGCCAAAUCCACAGAGAUUUGUACUCCCCCAGCUCUGCCGAUGGAUGUUAAUCUGGAAUAACCUUCCUGAGGACAGAUGCUGAGCCUUGACUCUCAGACUCCGGGAGCAAAGUCCACCUCCUGCGGGACGCAAUGACGGCUUGCUGCCUUCACAGAUAAGUGCGAUGGGAAGGCAGAGCCCAGCAGAAGGAGAAUUUGGUUCCAUUCCUGAGGUCUUUGACUGGGACCUACAUGAGUGCGAGAAUAAUGAAAAAGAGAGAGAGAAGGGGGCAAGAGUACACCAGGGUGUUUAAUAGAGUGUGAUCGUAUCCUGUAAAUAAGACAGUGCUGACAAAAGGAAGAAAAGCCCGCCCCUGUGUGAAUGAACUGAGUAAACAGCUUACUCCUUCUGCCAAAAGGUUGGCAAGGAGUAGAAAGUAAGAAGAAGGAAAAUACCAGCAAAUGAGAGCCUUGGUUCGGGAAUGCAAUGUAUCUGGAGAACAAAAUUAUGGCAUAUGAAAGGCGGGGGAGAGGAAGGGAGGGAGGAGGAAAGGAGAAAAAGGGAGAGGGGAGAAAGAGAGAGGUCAGGGAGGGAGGCAGAGAGGAGGAAGGGCAGAAGCAGCCAGACCCUGGAGGGCCGGGCAGGCCAAGAGGACCUGGGCUCCUGGCUGAAUGGGGCAGAGCAAUGACAGGAGAACGUGUGUCAACACGAUAAUAAUAGGCUUCACUUGGGAGUGUGGGGACGAGGUGAGUUCACAGUGCAAAGUCAGAGCACAGUGACACUCAGUAAGCACCAACCGCCAGUCAGCAUCAUGGUCCCGAUUUUAGCCCCUAACACUUUGAGCCCAGAGAGGGGAAGUCUCGCUUGCUCAGGGCCACAGCUGUCCGUCUUGUGGCCACGGGGAGCCAGCCUGAGCAAGCGCCGCCCUGGAGGGGGAGGCCCCGGGAUGGGGGCCGGCUCCCUGCAGGCAGGGGUGCCAGGCAGUAAAGGAUGGGCGGGGCACAGGGAGACCCAGACUGUGCCACCCACCACCUCCACGUCCUUGUCCCCUGAGCCUUGUUCUUCACCUGCAGAUGGGGGAGUAGCAGCGACACCUCCUACAGGGGUCGUCAAGGGGACAGAGGAAGGCAGAGCCUGUGAAGUCCCCAGCCCAGGGCCUCACAGACAGUGCCACCUAUUCAGCUUCCUUUAUUUGACAGAUGUUUAUUGGCAUGUGCCACAGGCCACACCACCAGGACACUGGGGACACAAGGUGAACAAGACACACUUCUCCAGACCACACGCGCGCACGCGCACGUGCACACACCGCCCCCCCCACCAUUGUCAAAACACUAAAUUCCAGAAAGUGGUAAGUGUUUACAAAACUCUUUCUGUAGAAAUGAGCACAAUAGGUGACGUUUGGGUUUAUUUGCUCGAGGACAAACGGAGAAGGCUCCUCAAGGACGCACAGGUCCCCGGGAGUGGCGUCUUCCAGUGCCUCCUUCACAGUUUUUUUCGACUAACAGGCAGGAGAACCUCCAGCCCACCCUGGGCCUGGCCCUGGCAAAGGAACUUCCCAAGGAGAAAGAGAGAAUGGGACAUUUUGGUAAAAUAAAAGGAAAUUUCUCUGAAUUAAAAAAAAAAAAAAAUCCUUUUUUUUUUGUCUUCCCAGAUGGAGAGCAGCGCUGUGAGAUUUAAAAACAGAGACUCUGGGCAACCUUUCUCCCACCCUACAGGCCACAUGGCGGCCACCCCCGCCCAGCUGCUGGGAGGAGCCCAGAGCCGUGGGGCUCAGCCCUGGCUCCACACCGGAACCUUCUGGGUUCAAAGUCCUGACCCAUGGGUCCUAUCCCCAGAGCUUCCAGUGUAACUUGCCCAGGGUGGGGCCUGGGCUUGGGGAUUUUUUAAAUCAUCCUGAAAACUCCUGACCUAAAGGAUCGUCUUUCUCAGGAGGCCUGUGUUGCCGAGGGACCUGCACAGACGGGAUAGGUGCCCGACACACGCUCACUGAAUGGCUGACAUAUGCACCGGG